UGCAAGUCGAGCGGUAGCACAGAGAGCUUGCUCUCGGGUGACGAGCGGCGGACGGGUGAGUAAUGUCUGGGAAACUGCCUGAUGGAGGGGGAUAACUACUGGAAACGGUAGCUAAUACCGCAUAACGUCGCAAGACCAAAGUGGGGGACCUUCGGGCCUCAUGCCAUCAGAUGUGCCCAGAUGGGAUUAGCUAGUAGGUGGGGUAAUGGCUCACCUAGGCGACGAUCCCUAGCUGGUCUGAGAGGAUGACCAGCCACACUGGAACUGAGACACGGUCCAGACUCCUACGGGAGGCAGCAGUGGGGAAUAUUGCACAAUGGGCGCAAGCCUGAUGCAGCCAUGCCGCGUGUAUGAAGAAGGCCUUCGGGUUGUAAAGUACUUUCAGCGAGGAGGAAGGCAUUAAGGUUAAUAACCUUGGUGAUUGACGUUACUCGCAGAAGAAGCACCGGCUAACUCCGUGCCAGCAGCCGCGGUAAUACGGAGGGUGCAAGCGUUAAUCGGAAUUACUGGGCGUAAAGCGCACGCAGGCGGUCUGUCAAGUCGGAUGUGAAAUCCCCGGGCUCAACCUGGGAACUGCAUUCGAAACUGGCAGGCUAGAGUCUUGUAGAGGGGGGUAGAAUUCCAGGUGUAGCGGUGAAAUGCGUACAGAUCUGGAGGAAUACCGGUGGCGAAGGCGGCCCCCUGGACAAAGACUGACGCUCAGGUGCGAAAGCGUGGGGAGCAAACAGGAUUAGAUACCCUGGUAGUCCACGCCGUAAACGAUGUCGACUUGGAGGUUGUGCCCUUGAGGCGUGGCUUCCGGAGCUAACGCGUUAAGUCGACCGCCUGGGGAGUACGGCCGCAAGGUUAAAACUCAAAUGAAUUGACGGGGGCCCGCACAAGCGGUGGAGCAUGUGGUUUAAUUCGAUGCAACGCGAAGAACCUUA
rnacentral:rRNA from 1 species